UAGGGAAUCUUCCACAAUGGACGCAAGUCUGAUGGAGCAACGCCGCGUGAGUGAAGAAGGUUUUCGGACCGUAAAGCUCUGUUGUUGGUGAAGAAGGAUAGAGGUAGUAACUGGCCUUUAUUUGACGGUAAUCAACCAGAAAGUCACGGCUAACUACGUGCCAGCAGCCGCGGUAAUACGUAGGUGGCAAGCGUUGUCCGGAUUUAUUGGGCGUAAAAGCGAGCGCAGGCGGAAGAAUAAGUC
rnacentral:rRNA from 1 species